rnacentral:rRNA from 1 species
AUUGAACGCUGGCGGAAUGCUUUACACAUGCAAGUCGAACGGCAGCACGGGGGCAGCCCUGGUGGCGAGUGGCGAACGGGUGAGUAAUACAUCGGAACGUGCCCGGUCGUGGGGGAUAACGUGCCGAAGGUUACGCUAAUACCGCAUACGAUCUGAGGAGGAAACGGGGGAACCUUCGGCCCUCGCGCGACCGGAGGGGCCGAUGUCAGAUUAGGUAGUUGGUGGGGUAAAGGCCUACCAAGCCGACGAUCUGUAGCUGGUCUGAGAGGACGACCAGCCACACUGGGACUGAGACACGGCCCAGACUCCUACGGGAGGCAGCAGUGGGGAAUUUUGGACAAUGGGCGCAAGCCUGAUCCAGCCAUUCCGCGUGCAGGACGAAGGCCUUCGGGUUGUAAACUGCUUUUGUACGGAACGAAAAGGCUCUGGCUAAUACCUGGGGCUCAUGACGGUACCGUAAGAAUAAGCACCGGCUAACUACGUG